rnacentral:rRNA from 1 species
AGCCUGAUCCAGCAAUGCCGCGUGUGUGAAGAAGGCCUUCGGGUUGUAAAGCACUUUUGUCCGGAAAGAAAUGGCUCUGGUUAAUACCUGGGGUCGAUGACGGUACCGGAAGAAUAAGGACCGGCUAACUACGUGCCAGCAGCCGCGGUAAUACGUAGGGUCCAAGCGUUAAUCGGAAUUACUGGGCGUAAAGCGUGCGCAGGCGGUUGUGCAAGACCGAUGUGAAAUCCCCGAGCUUAACUUGGGAAUUGCAUUGGUGACUGCACGGCUAGAGUGUGUCAGAGGGGGGUAGAAUUCCACGUGUAGCAGUGAAAUGCGUAGAGAUGUGGAGGAAUACCGAUGGCGAAGGCAGCCCCCUGGGAUAACACUGACGCUCAUGCACGAAAGCGUGGGGAGCAAACAGGAUUAGAUACCCUGGUAGUCCACGCCCUAAACGAUGUCAACUAGUUGUUGGGGAUUCAUUUCCUUAGUAACGUAGCUAACGCGUGAAGUUGACCGCCU